GCCCCUGUGGCGGAAUUGGUAGACGCGCGGGAUUCAAAAUCCCGUUCAGGUAACUGAGUGGGAGUUCGAGUCUCCCCGGGGGCACCA
rnacentral:tRNA from 1 species